rnacentral:piRNA from 1 species
UGGACCUACGGCUUCACUGUCAAUC